rfam:Nematostella vectensis strain CH2 x CH6 NEMVEscaffold_105_Cont12850, whole genome shotgun sequence.
GUUGGAUAUGGCGACCUGGUUCCUAAGACUCUAUGGGGAAAGCUUGUUGGCUCGUGUUGUGCGCUGUGCGGAGUGCUUGCUAUAGCACUUCCGGUUCCUGUCAUCGUAUCCAAU